GAUGAACGCUCGCUACAGGCUUAACACAUGCAAGUCGCGGGGCAGCAUGGGGGUUGCUUGCAACUCCCGAUGGCGACCGGCGCACGGGUGAGUAACGCGUAUCCAACCUGCCCUUCACCACGGGAUAACCCGGCGAAAGUCGGACUAAUACCGUAUGUUGUCCAUUGACGGCAUCCGAUUUGGACGAAAGGCUUUGCGGUGAAGGAUGGGGAUGCGUCCGAUUAGCCAGACGGCGGGGUAACGGCCCACCGUGGCUACGAUCGGUAGGGGUUCUGAGAGUAAGGUCCACCACACUGGAGCUGAGACACGGUCCAGACUCCUACGGGAGGCAGCAGUGAGGAAGAUUGGUCAAGGGGCGUAAGCCUGAACCAGCCAAGUAGCGUGCAGGAGGACGGCCCUAUGGGUUGUAAACUGCUUUUAUGCGGGGAUAAAGUGGCCCACGUGUGGGCUUUUGCAGGUACCGCAUGAAUAAGGACCGGCUAAUUCCGUG
rnacentral:rRNA from 1 species